rnacentral:rRNA from 1 species
UACGUAGGGUGCAAGCGUUGUCCGGAAUUAUUGGGCGUAAAGAGCUCGUAGGCGGUUCGUCGCGUCGGCUGUGAAAACCUGAGGCUCAACCUCAGGCCUGCAGUCGAUACGGGCGGACUUGAGUACUGCAGGGGAGACUGGAAUUCCUGGUGUAGCGGUGAAAUGCGCAGAUAUCAGGAGGAACACCGGUGGCGAAGGCGGCCAACUGGACGAAUACUGACGUGGAGACUCGAAAGCGUGGGGAGCAAACAGG